rnacentral:tRNA from 1 species
GCCAGCAUGGCAUAUUGGUUUUUAGUGCUGGACUACAACUCUGGAGACCAGGGUUCGAUUCCUGGCUCGGCCA